rnacentral:rRNA from 1 species
AUUGAACGCUGGCGGCAGGCCUAACACAUGCAAGUCGAGCGGCAGCGGGAAAGUAGCUUGCUACUUUUGCCGGCGAGCGGCGGACGGGUGAGUAAUGCCUGGGGAUCUGCCCAGUCGAGGGGGAUAACUACUGGAAACGGUAGCUAAUACCGCAUACGCCCUACGGGGGAAAGCAGGGGACCUUCGGGCCUUGCACGAUUGGAUGAACCCAGGUGGGAUUAGCUCGGUGGUGAGGUAACGGCUCACCAAGGCGACGAUCCCUAGCUGGUCUGAGAGGAUGAUCAGCCACACUGGAACUGAGACACGGUCCAGACUCCUACGGGAGGCAGCAGUGGGGAAUAUUGCACAAUGGGGGAAACCCUGAUGCAGCCAUGCCGCGUGUGUGAAGAAGGCCUUCGGGUUGUAAAGCACUUUCAGCGAGGAGGAAAGGUCAGUAGCUAAUAUCUGCUGGCUGUGACGUUACUCGCAGAAGAAGCACCGGCUAACUCCGUGCCAGCAGCCGCAGUAA